GAACGCUCUCUGGCAUUAGUCAGAGGGAGUGGCGGACGGGUGAGUAACACGUGGGUAACCUACCUCAAGGUGAGGAAUACCAACGAGAAAUCGUUGACAAUACCACAUGAGCUUCUUUGGGAGCAAAGCUUCUCGUAUUGAGAGGCGCCUUGAGAUGGGCCUGCGCCUGAUUAUGCUCGUUGGUGGGGUAAAAGCCUACCAAGGCGACGAUCGGUAGCUGGUCUGAGAGGACGAUCAGCCACACUGGGAUUGAGAACGGCCCAGACUCCUACGGGAGGCAGCAGUGAGGAAUUUUGGACAAUGGGCGAAAGCCUGAUCCAGCAAUGCCGCGUGUGUGAAGAAGGCCUUCGGGUUGUAAAGCACUUUUGUCCGGAAAGAAAUCCUGGUGGCUAAUAUCCGCCGGGGAUGACGGUACCGGAAGAAUAAGCACCGGCUAACUACGUGCCAGCAGCCGCGGUAAU
rnacentral:rRNA from 1 species